rnacentral:rRNA from 1 species
AGUGAACGCUGGCGGUAGGCCUAACACAUGCAAGUCGAACGGCAGCACAGUAAGAGCUUGCUCUUACGGGUGGCGAGUGGCGGACGGGUGAGGAAUACAUCGGAAUCUACUUUUUCGUGGGGGAUAACGUAGGGAAACUUACGCUAAUACCGCAUACGACCUACGGGUGAAAGCAGGGGAUCUUCGGACCUUGCGCGAUUGAAUGAGCCGAUGUCGGAUUAGCUAGUUGGCGGGGUAAAGGCCCACCAAGGCGACGAUCCGUAGCCGGUCUGAGAGGAUGAUCAGCCACACCGGAACUGAGACACGGUCCAGACUCCUACGGGAGGCAGCAGUGGGGAAUAUUGGACAAUGGGCGCAAGCCUGAUCCAGCCAUACCGCGUGGGUGAAGAAGGCCUUCGGGUUGUAAAGCCCUUUUGUUGGGAAAGAAAAGCAGCAGGUUAAUACCCCGCUGUUCUGACGGUACCCAAAGAAUAAGCACCGGCUAACUUCGUG